CCUACGGGUGGCAGCAGUGAGGAAUAUUGGUCAAUGGCCGAGAGUCUGAACCAGCCAAGUAGCGUGAAGGAUGACUGCCCUAUGGGUUUUAAACUUCUUUUAUAUGGGAAUAAACUGUUCCACGUGUGGGAUUUUGUAUGUACCCUCUGACUCAUGAUCGGCUACCUCCGUGCCAGCAGCCGCGGUAAUACGGAGGAUCCGAGCGUUAUCCGGAUUUAUUGGGUUUAAGGGGAGCGUAGGUGUAUUUUUAAGUCAGUUGUGAAAUUUUGCGGUUCAACCGUAAAAUUGCAAUUGAUACUGGCAGUCUUGAGUACAGUUGAGGUAGGCGGAAUUCGUGGUGUAGCGGUGAAAUGCUUAGAUAUCACGAAGAACUCCGAUUGCGAAGGCAGCUUACUAAACUGCCACUGACAUUGAUGCUCGAAAGUGUGGGUAUCAAACAGGAUUAGAUACCCUAGUAGUC
rnacentral:rRNA from 1 species